rnacentral:rRNA from 1 species
GCCUGUUUACCAAAAACAUCGCCUCCUGCAACAUAACCAAGUAUAGGAGGUCCAGCCUGCCCAGUGACCACAAGUUCAACGGCCGGGGUAUUUUGACCGUGCAAAGGUAGCGCAAUCACUUGUCUUUUAAAUAGAGACCUGUAUGAAUGGCUAAACGAGGGCUUAACUGUCUCCCCUUUCAAGUCAGUGAAAUUGAUCUACCCGUGCAGAAGCGGGUAUAAUAAUACAAGACGAGAAGACCCUUUGGAGCUUAAGGUACAAAACUCAACCACGUCAAGCAACUUAAUAAAAAGAAAAAACCUUGUGGAACAUGAUAUUUUACCUUCGGUUGGGGGGACCACGGAGGAAAGAAAAGCCUCCAAGUGGAUCUGGGAAAAUUUCCUAAAGCCAAGAGAGACAUCUCUAAGCCACAGAACAUCUGACCAAACAUGAUCCGGCAACAAAGCCGAUCAACGAACCAAGUUACCCUAGGGAUAACAGCGCAAUCCUCUCCCAGAGUCCAUAUCGACGAGGGGGUUUACGACCUCGAUGUUGGAUCAGGACAUCCUAAUGGUGCAGCCGCUAUUAAGGGUUCGUUUGUUCAACGAUUAAAGUCCUACAUGAUCUGAGUUCAGACCGG